rnacentral:misc_RNA from 1 species
GGCGACUCAGCAGCGGUGGCGACGGCGAUGUUCGGAUUUCGUUGACCGCUAUCCUGGCAAAUUUGAUCGGAUUCAUUGUCUUCCUUCUCAUUUCUCUCUCAUCGAGCGAGCUGGCGAGCUGUUACGCGAUGGGAUACCUCAAUUCGGCCUUGUCCAACACUAGCGGCACCAGGGCGGAGGAGUCUCCGGUCAGCGGCGGAGGUCUCAGCCAAAAUGGGAAGUUUAGCUAUGGGUAUGCUAGCUCUCCGGGUAAGAGGUCUUCGAUGGAGGACUUCUACGAGACGAGAAUCGAUGGUGUUGAGGGAGAGAUCGUUGGUCUUUUUGGAGUUUUUGAUGGCCAUGGUGGUGCUAGAGCAGCGGAGUAUGUUAAGCAGAACCUCUUUAGCAAUUUGAUCAGUCACCCGAAAUUUAUUUCUGACACCAAGUCUGCAAUAGCUGAUGCGUACACUCAUACUGACUCUGAGUUUCUGAAAUCCGAGAACAGUCAGAACCGUGAUGCUGGUUCGACUGCUUCGACUGCCAUCCUUGUCGGCGAUCGCCUUCUGGUUGCUAAUGUUGGGGAUUCUAGGGCUGUCAUAUGUAGAGGAGGAAA